AAGACCACAAGUUUGUCAUCAGCAACGUCAACAACCAGACACUGAGUGUCUUCUCACAAACCGUCCCGCCAGCAAACAGCAACGCCGUGGUGCCAGAGACGGAGAAGUUGACUAUGGAGGGCAAGGUCAUCCAGAGGGCGGAGUGCCGACCGAUCGGAAACGAGACGUACAUGCGUCUGAAGUUGGAGGGGUUCCGCAAGUCUGCUGUGCCGACCCGCAUGGCCAAGCGACUGGAUGACGUGGUGCACGU